CACAUGCAGUCGAGCGAGACCUUCGGGUCUAGCGGCGGACGGGUUAGUAACGCGUGGGAACGUGCCCUUCUCUGCGGAAUAGCCACUGGAAACGGUGAGUAAUACCGCAUACGCCCUUCGGGGGAAAGAUUUAUCGGAGAAGGAUCGGCCCGCGUUAGAUUAGAUAGUUGGUGGGGUAACGGCCUACCAAGUCUACGAUCUAUAGCUGGUUUUAGAGGAUGAUCAGCAACACUGGGACUGAGACACGGCCCAGACUCCUACGGGAGGCAGCAGUGGGGAAUCUUAGACAAUGGGCGCAAGCCUGAUCUAGCCAUGCCGCGUGUGUGAUGAAGGUCUUAGGAUCGUAAAGCACUUUCGCCAGGGAUGAUAAUGACAGUACCUGGUAAAGAAACCCCGGCUAACUCCGUGCCAGCAGCCGCGGUAAUACGGAGGGGGUUAGCGUUGUUCGGAAUUACUGGGCGUAAAGCGCGCGUAGGCGGAUUGGAAAGUUGGGGGUGAAAUCCCGGGGCUCAACCCCGGAACUGCCUCCAAAACUAUCAGUCUAGAGUUCGAGAGAGGUGAGUGGAAUUCCAAGUGUAGAGGUGAAAUUCGUAGAUAUUUGGAGGAACACCAGUGGCGAAGGCGGCUCACUGGCUCGAUACUGACGCUGAGGUGCGAAAGUGUGGGGAGCAAACAGGAUUAGAUACCCUGGUAGUCCACACCGUAAACGAUGAAUGCCAGUCGUCGGGCAGUAUACUGUUCGGUGACACACCUAACGGAUUAAGCAUUCCGCCUGGGGAGUACGGUCGCAAGAUUAAAAC
rnacentral:rRNA from 1 species